CAAUUCUCCUUUCCUAAUUAAUCCCAUAUCAAAUAGUGGUGAGUGCAAAUAUUCAAGUUGGACUGUAAAAUAUUCUAUAUAAUAUUUUCAUUAUUUCAUUUCAAAACAAUGGUUGCUUCAGUCUCUCUUUAUUUUUGUAUUAAAACUAUAAAAUAAUGAAAAUUUUUACUUGAUGUAAAAUUUUACCCAAAAUUAAAUCAAUGCAUUUCAAAUUUCAUGAAUUUUUCUGAACACAGCAUAUGUUCA
rnacentral:lncRNA from 1 species